GACGAACGCUGGCGGCGUGCUUAACACAUGCAAGUCGAACGGAAAGGCCCUGCUUUUGUGGGGUGCUCGAGUGGCGAACGGGUGAGUAACACGUGAGUAACCUGCCCUUGACUUUGGGAUAACUUCAGGAAACUGGGGCUAAUACCGGAUAGGAGCUCCUGCUGCAUGGUGGGGGUUGGAAAGUUUCGGCGGUUGGGGAUGGACUCGCGGCUUAUCAGCUUGUUGGUGGGGUAGUGGCUUACCAAGGCUUUGACGGGUAGCCGGCCUGAGAGGGUGACCGGCCAAAUUGGGACUGAGAUACGGCCCAGACUCCUACGGGAGGCAGCGGUGGGGAAUAUUGCACAAUGGGCGGAAGCCUGAUGCAGCAACGCCGCGUGCGGGAUGACGGCCUUCGGGUUGUAAACCGCUUUCGCCUGUGACGAAGCGUGAGUGACGGUAAUGGGUAAAGAAGCACCGGCUAACUACGUG
rnacentral:rRNA from 1 species